rnacentral:rRNA from 1 species
GUGAAAUUGUUGAAAGGGAAGCGCUUGCAACCAGACCUGCCUGCAGUUGCUCAUCCGGGCUUUUGCCCGGUGCACUCUUCUGCUGUCAGGCCAGCAUCAGUUCGGGCGGUCGGAUAAAGGCUUCGGGAAUGUAGCUCCUCUCGAGGAGUGUUAUAGCCCGUUGCGAAAUGCGGCCAGCCUGAACUGAGGUCCGCGCUUCGGCUAGGAUGCUGGCGUAAUGGUUGUAAGCGGCCCGUCUUGAAACACGGACCAAGGAGUCUAACAUCUGUGCGAGUGUUUGGGUGUCAAACCCGUACGCGUAAUGAAAGUGAACGGAGGCGGGAACCCCUCGGGGUGCACCGCCGACCGAUCCUGAUGUCUUCGGAUGGAUUUGAGUAAGAGCAUAGCUGUUGGGACCCGAAAGAUGGUGAACUAUGCCUGAAUAGGGUGAAGCCAGAGGAAACUCUGGUGGAGGCUCGCAGCGGUUCUGACGUGCAAAUCGAUCGUCAAAUUUGGGCAUAGGGGCGAAGGACUAAUCGAACUAUCUAGUAGCUGGUUCCUGCCGAAGUUUCCCUCAGGAUAGCAGUAACGUUUUCAGUUUUAUGAGGUAAAGCGAAUGAUUAGAGGCCUGGGGGUUGAAACAACCUUCACCUAUUCUCAAACUUUAAAUAUGUAAGAAGUCCUUGUUGCUUAGUUGAACGU